GUAGGUGAACCUGCGGAAGGAUCAUUACAGAGUAUCAUGCCCUCACGGGUAGAUCUCCACCCUUGAAUAACAUACCUUUGUUGCUUUGGCAGGCCCCAUUUCCAGUGGCUUCGGCUGCUGAGUGCCCGCCGGACGACAAAUAACUCUUGUUCUUUACUGGCCUCUCUGAGUAUUUAUACAAAUAAGUUAAAACUUUCAACAACGGAUCUCUUGGUUCUG
rnacentral:misc_RNA from 1 species